rnacentral:lncRNA from 1 species
AAGAGUUCCAGGAGACGAUUUGGAGCGAAAUAAGGGUUCUAGAAAAAGGUUUCCAACACCAAAAAGAAUAAAGGUCUAUAUUUAAGAACAUGUUUUCUAUUACUUUAAUUUGUGUUGGUUUAUUAGUUGCUUUGAUGAGCAGCUGAAUCUAGUUAUUCUUGUUUAGCUAGAUGAAGCUUCCAACUAUGAAUAGUUCAAUGUUUAUGGAUUAAGUUUAGUUGGUAAAAAUUGAUUGUGUUUGAUUUGCAUUACCUAGCAUGCUAUUGGUUGUUUCUCUAAUUGCUUGAUUGCAUGUUCUGUGUAGCUUAGUGACCAUUAACUGCAUGAACUUGUUUACCUAAUGAUUUAGUGAACAUUGAAUUGUUAGAGCUAGGAUUGACCAAUCUUAGUUAGUAAUUAGAGUAAAUAAGCUUAGCUGUGCUAGAGAAUGUGUAUUGUGACCAUAAUUGUGUUUAUAUUACAAACCUUACAUAGCAUAUUUACAUUCAUAAUUAGUUAUGUGUUUAAUUAUGUUUGAACAUACAUGGUUUGACAUGAAUUAGUUAAUUAUUGGUAAAGUUAGAACUAAAUUACUAAUACAACUAAAAACCAACUUAAUAAUCCGUAAUCAUUAGCUAGCCAUAAGGAAGAAGUGGAUUCAAACUAAACAAGAGUGUGUUUUUACUUAUUGAAUUUGCCUUAAGUUCAUCUGAUCUUGUAAAAUCAGAUAAAACCCCUUUUAAACUUGUUAAUAAUUAGGUUAAUUUAAUAGUAAGUAAAUUAAUUAGAGCACCGUUCCCUGUGAUCGACACCCGACUUACCCAAGCUAUACUGUAAUCCGACUAGGUACACUGCCUAUAAGUGCAUAGUUAGUUAAGUUUGUUAGGUUAUAAAUAUUAAAAUUAGUGAGUACUUUUGUGCACAUCAAGUUUUUGGCACCGUUGCCGGGGAACGACUUAGUUUUUAGCUUAUUUAUUUGCAUUAAAUUAAUCGAUCCUUCUUGUGGAGUAAAAACCAGAAAAAGUUGAUUUUUCUGCAAAAUAAUUUUUUUUUCUGUCAGUCACAGAGUCCACGACGUGGCCAGAUACCUGCCACGACCUGGACUAUUAAAAAACUAAAAUUUUAGUUGUUAGUUGGUUUUUCUUAUUUUAGUUUAGUUUUAUGUUUUUAGUUUAGCAAGUUACAGGAGUUCAUGGCUAGAAGCUCAAACACACCCUUGGUGCCACCACUUGAAGAUCUCGAGUCUGCAAUUCACAAGAAAAAGACGCCCUUAUAAGAAUUGAAGUCAGCUUUUUGAAGGAAGUCGGGAAAGAAGACAGGAGAGUCAAGUUCAUCCGCGAGGCACAAGAGCAAUCUUGAGCAUUUGGAUCAUACGCCCGUCCAAACCGAGUCCAAAAGCGAUACCGAGCCGGAAUUUGAAGAACACACAAGCGAACCUGAGAACGAGCCAAGGAACGAGAUGGUAGCAAUUGAAGAAAUGUCCAUGGGAGCUUACAAGAAGCGGAUCCGAGAAGAUGUGGGUCCCGGUUUAGUCCAACCCGCAAUACCUGUCACUGCCACAUUCGAGCUGAAGGGACACAUAUUGACAGCACUGAAGGACAUUCCAUUUUUCGGGAAGGAUCAUGAGGAUGCUUUUAAGCAUCUAGACGAAGUCAACGACAUUGCGGAUUACUUCAAUGUCCCAAAUGUCACCAGAAAUACAGUCUUGCUUAGGAUGCUUCCCAUCACUUUCAAAGGAGCUGCUAAGGAGUGGUUAAAAGCACUUCCACCGGGUACAAUUACCACUUGGGCUCAAAUGCGUGAGCAAUUCCUGGACCAGUUUUGCCCGCCAUCCAAGAUAGCCAAACUCAAGAAGGCAAUAGCCAACUUUGAGCAACAGCCGGGGGAGUCAUUAUACGAAGCAUGGGAGCGGUACAAGGGCUUGCUCAGAAAUUGCCCUCAGCAUGAUCUAAAUGUGCAACAAGAGAUGUCAAUCUUUUAUGAUGGGGUCAACGUUAUGACAAGACAACUCCUUGAUUCUCAAGGACCUUUGAAAAAGAAAAAUCCAAGGGAGGUCAAGGAGCUAAUUGAAGAAUUCGCGAAGCACUCUCGCAAAUACCACAACCUUAGGCAAGAUGGAAUCAAAGGUGGUGGAGGGGCCCAAACUGAAGAAAUAGCAGCUGUAAUGGCCAUGCUGAAUAAUAUGGAUCGAAGGAUAACACAAAUGGACUAGUCAAUACAUGCCAUAAGAGUGGGUGGCGAGAGAGGUAGUGGUCCACACUUGACCAAGGACUGCAAUGUAGAUGAGCUUAGGAACAGCAAAGCUCAAGUGUGCUACUCUAGUGGGGAUAAGUUUGAUGAGGACUGGAGAAAACCGAAGAAGGAGUGGCUGCCAUAUGAAGAGUAUAAGAAGCAAAAAGAAGAGAAGUAUAGGUAGACAUGUCGAGGCUUUUAUCAAAAGGAGCAGCCACCAGCCGAGAAGAAACCCGAUAUAGAGACCAUUUUGAUGAAGUUUAUGGAAGCUUCGGAAAAGAGAUACGAUGCCACUGAUACUGCUAUUAUGGAACAACAAACUUUGAUAAAGAAUCAGCAAGCCUCCAUCCAUAACCUUGAAGUACAAUUUGGUCAACUAGCCACUCUGGUUCAUGAAAAAUUGUCCCCGAAGAAUCCUGAAGUAAAGAGCCAAUCUCAUGUAAUGGCCAUCGAUACUGAAGAAGAUGCAAUCUCUGAGUUCCUAGAGGCAUUGGAAGAAGAACCACGACAGCCCGAUCCAAAACCCAAGAAGUCAAAGUUCGAAAGUGAAAAAGUUGCUGAACCACCUUCGCCACGACGUGUCACUACUCUGGCCACGACGUGGCGCAUGCCUGAUCAAAAAAUUCUUUGAACCCGUUCCAGUUUAUCAGCCACCUUUGCCAUUUCCAACCCGAGCUGCACUUAGUCUACUGGAGAAGGAGCAUAUAGAGUUUGUAAAGCAUGUGAAGGGGAUCCCGAUUAAUACCCCAUUUGUCGAGUCCUUAUCCAAAACUACCGAAAACCAGAAAUUACUGCAAGAUUUGAUAGAAACUCGCAUGAAAUUAAAGAAGCAGUCUAAGGUGGUUCUAAGUGAACAAACCUUAAAAGCCGUGUUAGGAGAGACACCAGAAAAGAUGGGGGAUCCUGGACGCCUCACUCUUCCGUGUGAGUUUGGUAAUAAAAUGAAGGUUAAUGCUUUAGCUGAUUCUGGUGCUAGCAUUAAUUUGAUGACUUUUUCAUUUUAUCAAAAAUUAGAAAUUCAGAAGAUGAAGGCUACAAAAAUGAAGAUUCACAUGGCGAAUCAUUCAGUGACACAACCCCGGGGCACCGUGGAGGAUAUUUUGGUGAAAAUUGGAAAAUUUGUUUUUCCAAUAGACUUUGUAGUUUUGGAUAUGACGGAAGAUCCCGAUGUUCCAAUAAUCCUUGGUCGUCCAUUGCUUAACACUGUUGGAGCACUUGUUGAUAUUCGCGAGUCUAAGCUCACUUUGAGGGUAGGAGAUGAACAAGAAGUUUUGGAGUACAAGAUGACUUCCAAGAGGAUCAUGCUCAAGAAGAGGUGUUCACAAUUAAUGAAGACAAUGAACUAGAAGAACUGGAAAAGCUUAUGGAAGAAGAGAUCAAGGCAGUUCAUCAAGUCAAAAGAACAAAACCGAGGGCAUCUGUUCCAUAUUUGAUUGAAGUCAUAGCUUACAAGAGUCCGCCUUCUUGGGUGAGCAAAGAGGAUGAGGAUAUGACAAGUGAUGAAGAGGAGGUCACUUCAAAAGUGACAAAGCCGGUGGUGAAAGGGGAGGAGGAUGCUAUGGAGUGCAAGGAACAAACUAAGGGCACAAAACGCAAGCUUGAAGAAGAGGGCAAGGCUAAAAAGGAGAAUUUAAAGAAGGCAUAUAAAAGGCGAGUUCAAGCUUACAAGAGGCGAUUCAAGGAACAAAAGAUCUUGGUGGUGGACUCUUCAGAAGAUUCAACGUAGAAGGCACAGAGUCUAGCUGAAGACACCAAGAAAAAGAAGCGCUUCUCGGGAGGCAACCCGAGCUUGGUUUGUAUUUUCUUUUCUUUUAACUUUUUAGUUUUUAAUUAGGAAAGAUAUCAACUCAUCAUCUAAUAACUGAUACUUAGUAAAGAAUUAGCUGUGGGAACUUUAAUUAAUAAAUGAGAUGCAAAGUAGUUAGUUAAAAUUUAUGAUUUUGAAAAAUUAUGCGAUCAGGCAUAUGCCACGACGUGGGCUAAUAUAGCCACGUCAUGGUAAAAAAAUGAAAACACGGGAACAGAUGACAGUUUCAAAGUCCACGACGUGGGCAUAGCCAGCCAUGACGUGGCCUUUAAAAAGUCACGGGGGGACCAUUUCCUUAAAACCCUUUGACCAAUAAUCCCCAUUCCCAUUUGAUACUGCCGCACGAACGGGAACAAAGUCCCCAUAGCCAAGUUCUUAAUUUGCUUCCAAUUUCCUUGCAAGUUCUUGUCAAUUAACUCUACUUGGUAUGUGUUCUACUCAUUAAUUAUAGUUAGUUCUUACAAUUUGAAAUUUUCAUGGUUAGGGUUUAUGUGAUUUACGAAAUUGGUUGAAACUAGUUGUUAAUUCUAGGUUGCAUGUUCCUUAAAUGUCCAUAGGAACAAACCCCAAGCAUUAAUUUUGGUAGAAAUGGCAUACAAAAUGACCGAUUCACAUACAGGGUUCGACUACGGUCCACGACAUGGCGAGGGACCAAAAGUGACAAAAUGUAGAACAUGGGAGACUUGAAAGAAAAGAAAAGAAUAAAUCCACGAAAGAUACUGAAUUCACGACGUGGCCAAGUCAGCCACGACUUGGCAUGAGGAUUCUAGAAGAUAAACAUCGCGAUUCGGAGGAUUCCUUGUCCGGUACGGAUAACUUGAAGCCCACGACGUGGCCUGGAUAGCCACGACGUGGCACGGGUUUUUGGAGUUUAUUUAAGUGUUCCUGAUUAUUACGAAAAAAGAACCUUUUGGCUGAAGGAAAGAGUUCCAGGAGACGAUUUGGAGCGAAAGAAGGGUUCUGGAAGAAGGUUUCCAACACCAAAAAGAAUAAAGGUCUAUAUUUAAGAACAUGUUUUCUAUUACUUUAAUUGGUUUUGGUUUAUUAGUUGCUAUGAUGAGUAGCUGAAUCUAGCUACUUUUGUUUAGCUAGAUGAAGCUUCUAACUUAUAAAUAGCUCAAUUUUUAUGGAUUAAGUUUAGUUGGUAAAAAUUGCUUGUGUUUGAUUUGCAUUACCUAGCAUGCUAUUGUUUAUUUCUCUAAUUGCUUGAUUGCAUGUUCUGUGUAGCUUAGUGACCAUUAAUUGCAUUAACUUGUUACCUAAUGAUUUAGUGAACAUUGAAUUGUUAGAGUUAGGAUUGACCAAUCUUAGUUAGUAAUUAGAGUAAAUAAGCUUAGUUGUGCUAGAGAACGUGUAUUGCGACCAUAAUUGCGUUUAUAUUACAAACCUUACAUAGCAUAUUUACAUUCAUAAUUAGUUUUGUGUUUAAUUAUGUGUGAACUACAUGGUUUGACAUGAAUUAGUUAAUUAUUGGUAAAGUUAGAACUAAAUUACUAAUACAACUAAAAACCAACUUAAUAAUCCGUAAUCAUUAGCUAGCCAUAAGGAAGAAGUGGAUUCAAACUAAACAAGAGUGUCUUUUUACUUAUUGAAUUUGCUUUAGGUUCAUCAUAUCUUGUAAAAUCAGAUAAAACCCCUUUUAAAAUUGUUAAUAAUUAUGUUAAUUUAAUAGUAAGUAAAUUAAUUAGAGCACCAUUCCCUGUGAUCGACACCGACUUACCCAAGCUAUACUGUAAUCCGACUAGGUACACUGCCUAUAAGUGCAUAGUUAGUUAAGUUUGUUAGGUUAUA